rnacentral:rRNA from 1 species
UGGGGAAUAUUGGUCAAUGGGGGAAACCCUGAACCAGCAACGCCGCGUGAAGGAAGAAGGCCUUCGGGUUGUAAACUUUUUUGACGAGGGACGAUAAUGACGGUACCUCGAAAACAAGCUCCGGCUAACUACGUGCCAGCAGCCGCGGUAAUACGUAGGGAGCGAGCGAUGUCCGGAAUUACUGGGUGUAAAGGGCGCGUAGGCGGGGAUACAAGUCAGAUGUGAAAUAUCCAGGCGCAACCUGGGGGCUGCAUUUGAAACUGUAUGUCUUGAGUGAUGGAGAGG